CCUGAGAUUUUGUGGGCUCACGACACUCGUAGCUCACUUUCUCACUUCCCGAACCCUAGGCUAAAACUCUAGGAAACUCACUGGAAACCUUGCACCCACUUUUCUUUCUUUUCUUUCUUUUUCUCUUGGAAGGAUAUGGACUUCCUUCUUACAAACAAGACUUCUCACAUCCAAAAAUUUUUCUUCAAAAAUCUUCUUCUUGCACGCCCCACUCUUCUCCUCCUUUUAUAACAACAUCAAAUGUCUUAUCCAAAAGAAAGGAUAAAGAUGAGUAAUUGCACAUUUGAAUUCAAAUCAAAUUUUGAAUUCAAAUGGACACCAACUCAUCUCUUAUCUACUAAAGGCGUGAGGUGUGGCUUAAAUUAUGCAUUGAAAGAUUUCAUGAGAAACCUUUUCUCAUGUAAUAAAUGGGGCGUAAAAAAAGGGAUAAGGUGCAAAGAUUGAUUGCCCAUUCAAAUUCAAACUUUAUUUUGAAUUUGAAUGGCCAACCAAUCAUCCUUAUCCAUUCAUUUGGCACAUUAAAGUGGGGCAUGGAGAGGGCUUGGCAUGAGGAAAUAAUUCAUGAGAAGUUCCUUCUCAUGAAUUCAAAUGGGUGCAAUGGAAGUGAGGUGGCGCAUGG
rnacentral:lncRNA from 1 species